rnacentral:rRNA from 1 species
CCUACGGGAGGCAGCAGUGAGGAAUAUUGGUCAAUGGCCGUAAGGCUGAACCAGCCCAGUCGCGGGAAGGAAGAAGGAUCUAUGGUUUGUAAACUUCUUUUAUAGGGGAAUAAAGGUAUCCACGUGUGGAUAUUUGCAUGUACCCUAUGAAUAAGCAUCGGCUAACUCCGUGCCAGCAGCCGCGGUAAUACGGAGGAUGCGAGCGUUAUCCGGAUUUAUUGGGUUUAAGGGGUGCGUAGGUUGUUUUUUAAGUCAGCGGUGAAAGUUUGUGGCUCAACCAUAAAAUUGCCGUUGAAACUGGAAGACGUGAGUGUGUUUGAGGUAGGCGGAAUGCGUGGUGUAGCGGUGAAAUGCAUAGAUAUCACGCAGAACUCCGAUUGCGAAGGCAGCUUACUAAGCCAUAACUGACACUGAAGCACGAAAGCGUGGGGAUCAAACAGGAUUAGAUACCCCUGUAGUC